GACGAACGCUGGCGGCGUGCUUAACACAUGCAAGUCGAACGAUGAAGAAAAGAAUUGAAGCUUCGGCAGAAAUUCAUUUCGGAUUAGUGGCAGACGGGUGAGUAACGCGUGAGCAACCUACCUCUUACAAAGGGAUAGCCUCGGGAAACCGGGAUUAAUACCAUAUAACAUUGCGACGAAGCAUUUCGAUGCAAUCAAAGCUACGGCGGUAAGAGAUGGGCUCGCGUCCCAUUAACCAGAUGGUGAGGUAACGGCUCACCAUAGUAACGAUGGGUAACCGGCCUGUGAGGGUGAACGGUCACACUGGAACUGUGACACGGUCCAGACUCCUACGGGAGGCAGCAGUGGGGAAUAUUGCACAAUGGAGGGAACUCUGAUGCAGCGACGCCGCGUGAGUGAUGAAGGAAUUCGUUUCGUAAAACUCUGUUCUAUGGGAAGAAAAGGACUGUACCAUAGGAGAAAGCUCCGGCUAAAUACGUG
rnacentral:rRNA from 1 species